rnacentral:tRNA from 1 species
GCUCUAGUAGCUUAAUCAUAAAGUGCCGGUCUU